rnacentral:misc_RNA from 1 species
AACGCAUAUUGCACUCUCUGGUAUUCCGGAGAGUACGCCUGUUUCAGUAUCAAAAAUGUCAUCCAAAGUUUUGAUUUGUUUGUUUAUCAGACAAGCCAAAAUUUUAUGGGAUUUGGGUUUUGCAGAAAUUUUUCUGCUGGCCUUAAAUAAUCUAGCCACAAAAAAACAUAGGCGAUAAGGCGUAAUAGUUGGUACUUUUGGUUCCAUCCUUUCGCUGAAACCUGUCUUUUUUGAAUCAAUGGCUCGACAAUAUGGAAAAAACGAAAUAUAUUUAUAUACAAUAUAUUUCACCAUUGUUUGGAUCUGAAAUCAGGUGGGACUACCCGCUGAACUUAA